AAACACCUGAGCUCCAAAAAUUCAAAUAGUGUCAUUUCAUUUGCCAUUUAAAAAAACCAAAAAACCAUUGAAUGGCAUUCUACCCUUUUUUUUUUAGUAAAACCUUAGCCCCUUUUCUAUCGUUUCAUCACCAUGAGCAGUAGAUAACAUCGAAUCCAACUCUAUUUGGAGUCUUAUCCUCCUAAUCCUCAUCUAAACUUUGAUUUCAACGAAACAAACAAGGAUUCGAAGGCCCUUAUCAAGGUAAGUCCCUCCCCCUUUUACAUAUUUACAUGAAAGAUUUAUGUGCAGGAACAAAGAAAAAGAAAAAAAACAAAUCGAAAACCCAAAAAAUAAACUUCAAAUCACCUCUUAAGAACUGAUUUUGGAUUGCUUGGUAUUUUAAUCUGUGUGUUUAUUCUCUUUUUUAUUGCAUUCGUAAAAAAAAGGUCCCUUUACAAUAUAUUUUCAAAGGCUUUUAUAACCUUUUUACAACCUAUUUUUACACUUUGCAGGUACGUGCGUGGGUAUAUCACUGAUGUGGCAUGGUGGAGCAGCGCACGAUGCAGAGGAAGCGCGCGAUGUGCAGUGCCUGGAAAUUGCCUUGGUUGUGAUGGCUGAAGGUGUUGGCUGCUAGGUUUUUUGUUUUUGUUCUUAUUAUUUUUUUUGGCUGUUGGGGUUUGCUUGGGGGUUUGGGUAAUUGGGCUUAGGGUUUUGGUUUUGGUUUUGGGAUUGGGCCCGUGCAGUAUUUGGGCUGGUGUGGGUAGUGGUGUUGGACUGUUUUGGUCUUUAUUUUUUUGUUUAUUUGUUUGUUGGUCUUGGGCCGGGCAAUUUUGGCCCAUUAAAAUAGUGGAAGGAUAAUAAGGUUUGUUUCUCAAACUCUAGAGUGCUAAGAAAUGUUAUUUAUGAGAUAUCCCAAAUAUAAAACUCUUUACUCGAGUUUAGUUGAUAACUUGAGUUAUGGUUGUCACUUUGAGCACUAAGUUCACUAAACUUGGCUUUCAUCUUCUCCACUUAAUAUUGGCAUUAUUAAGGUCAUUUGUGGUAAUUUACAACAUUUCUAAGCUUCCUGUAAAAUUUGGCUCCAUUCAAGGGGUCAUUUUGGGCUUGUUUGUGGCAAAAUAGGACAAAAUGAGCAAAACAAAGUAGUUGUAUCCAUUCG
rnacentral:lncRNA from 1 species